rnacentral:rRNA from 1 species
UAACCUACCCAUCAGAGGGGGAUAACAUUUGGAAACAGGUGCUAAUACCGCAUAACAGUUUAUGCCGCAUGGCAUAAGAGUGAAAGGCGCUUUCGGGUGUCGCUGAUGGAUGGACCCGCGGUGCAUUAGCUAGUUGGUGAGGUAACGGCUCACCAAGGCCACGAUGCAUAGCCGACCUGAGAGGGUGAUCGGCCACACUGGGACUGAGACACGGCCCAG